CCCAAACACACCGCGCGCCCAACCCGGGGCCACCAGGCCAAGCCAGAGCCGAACUGCAUUCACAAAGAACCUCUCUGUGGAAGAAGCCCUCCACCUAUUUCUCCCUCUUCAGUUGCCGGGAGUUGUGACUAAGGAUGAACCCAUCUAAAGUGAUGGAGACAAGUAGUUCCACUGGUUUACUGUUCCCACUGUCAGGAAUAACAGAAUAAUGGAAGGGACCUUGGAGGUCUUCUAAUCCAACCCCCUGCUCAAGCAGGAAACCUAUCCCAUCGCAGACAAAUGGUUGUCAAGUCACUUCUUGGAAUCCUCCAAUGUUGGAGCAUCCACAACUUCUGCAGGCAAGUUUUCCCACGGAUUCAUUGUCCUCGCUGUCAGGAAAUUUCUCCUUAAUUCCAAGUUGCUUCUCGCCUUGAUCAGUUUCCACCCGUUGCUCUUUGUCCUGCCUUCAGGUGCUUUGGAGGAUAGCUUGACUCCCUCUUCUUUGCGGCAGGGUUACAGUUAGGAUAAA